rnacentral:rRNA from 1 species
UGAGGAAUAUUGGUCAAUGGGCGUAAGCCUGAACCAGCCAUCCCGCGUGAAGGAAGAAGGCGCUAUGCGUCGUAAACUUCUUUUCCAGAGGAAGAAAACCCCCGACGUGUCGGGGCUUGCCGGUACUCUGGGAAUAAGCAUCGGCUAACUCCGUGCCAGCAGCCGCGGUAAUACGGAGGAUGCAAGCGUUAUCCGGAUUCAUUGGGUUUAAAGGGUGCGCAGGCGGAAUGAUAAGUCAGUGGUGAAAUCCUACGGCUCAACUGUAGAACUGCCAUUGAUACUGUUGUUCUUGAGUACACUUGGAGUGGGCGGAAUGUGUCAUGUAGCGGUGAAAUGCUUAGAUAUGACACAGAACACCGAUCGCGAAGGCAGCUCACUAAGUUGUAACUGACGCUCAGGCGCGAAAGCGUGGGGAUCAAACA